GGGAAAUAUUGGUGAUGGGUGGUCAGUUGGACUAGAUGAUCUUUGUGUCCUUUUCCAAGCAUAAUGUUUCUAUUAUUCUAUUAUCAUCAUCAUCAUUGUUUAUCUAUUUAUUUAUCAAUUUAUUUAUUCAGUAGGUUAGCUUUCUCUUACCCUUGUUGGUAGUAAAACCCUUAAUGCCACAGUGACCAAUAGAAGAUCAUUGCAUCUAGCACCAGGAGACAAAGAAGCAAGGAGGGAUCUGUGAAAAAUGCUUGCAAGAAGCAAAGCACAGUGUAGAUGGAGAUGAUUCAUGUCUCUGCACUGAUUCUUCAGUAAAAGUAACUUAGGUCUAUCUGACUCCCAUUCAAGUGUGAAUUCACGUCAUUAAAAUCUGCUGAUGAUUUUUGGUGGAGAAGAAUCAAACCUAUUGGCCUUCAUCUUACAGUGCUCGUGAAGUUUGCUCAGAGACUCAAAAUCCCGUAGGCCACAUGGGGACCGUAAGAUAAGGAACACACAAUCACGUAGGAGAAGUCUGAUUUAAGGGACCCCUGUGACUAAACACUGACAGUAUAACACAGGAACUCUAGCAGAUGUGAGACUAAAACUUAACUCUUCGAGGCAUCUCGUGCAAGAUUUUAAACCACAGCAAGUGACCAGCAUGCAGAUGGCAGUAACAGACCAUUGCCACGUGACUGGGGCUGUGAAUAGCUGCCUAUCUGCUGUCCAAAAGCUCAGCUAGAUCUGGUGCAAUACCGUAGACUUUAACUUGGGGCUGCAUGAAUAUUGUGUCAUUUGGGUGCUCACUGCAACUUGGAAGAGAAGAGGAUAUCCAGCACCAUGAGGACAGAAAGUUUCCUAAGGCCAAGAAAACCUUAUUGAAAUGAAAGAUUUCAGCAAAAUAUUCCAGAUUUGACAACUUGGUAACGUCCCUUUCAAAUGAACAUGGAAGAACAUGCAGAUGAAGUCAAAUCUCCGUUGACUGGUUUGUGACCAAUGGGACAGACUUUCCAGGAAUCCUUUCACCUGCCAGCUGCAGGAACUAUUUCCCACGUGAUACUGAAAUUCAUACAGUUCCAUCAUACCUUUUUGGCGAUGAAAAGUACUGGAUGUAGUGUUCUAAAUGUCUGCCCACCAUGCAUUUAACACGGUAAUAUAAUGAUGUUUCCUGGUUUGUUUGCUACACCUUUUCAGUUAAUUCCCUUCCCUAAUAAUAGUUUCUUCAUCUGACAAUUGCUGGCCACUGAGCUAUCUUUUUUUUCUGAGAACUGUUCGUAUGAAGUGAUCAUAAAAUGUACAACUUCACUGAGGAGCUUUUACUGCCUUUUUUAUACUUCUCUCUAAACUUACGCUAUUGGCCUCAGUUGGGCAGAGUAUGAGGCCAGACGGGCCUUACUCAGAAAGGCCAUUCUUAUGUUAUGUUCUUGAGCAGCAGGAGUUAAUAUAUAGGCCGUCAGUAUAUUACUUUUGUUUUUCCCAUGCUUAUGGUUUUGCAUUUAUCAAUGUUGCAGUUCAGCUGACAAUCCACUUGUUAAAGACUGGAGACCUUUUGGAAGUCUCUAUCAUAGCUCCCUGGGAGACUACCUUAGUAAAAUUCCUCCAGAGUGUAACUGGCCUUUUAUUCUUGGUCAUUUACUCUGUCAUUUCAAAAAUAAUUUAUUUAUGCAAGGACUUUCUCUUCUUAUGUGUAGUAGGUUUGGUUCUUUAAGAGUCUAGCAAAGGAACAUCUUCAGAUCCUUUUGUAUCAACCUUCUCCUUGAAGGUUGAUACCUUUUCUCCGCUGCAUGCUGCACCUUGAGUACUGUGUCCAGUUUUGGGCCCCUCACUGUAAGAAAGACAUCGAGGCCCCGGAGCAUGUCCAGAAGAGGGCAACAAAGCUGAUGAGGGGUCUGGAGCACAGGCCUUAUGAAGAGCAGCUGAAGUAGCUGGGAUUGUUCAGUCUAGAGAAGAGGAGGCUCAGGGGAGACCUUAUUGCUCUCUAUAAAUACCUGAAGGGAGGUUGUAGUGAGCUGGGGGUCAGCCUCUUCUCUCGGGUGACUAGUGCUAGGACUAGAGGGAAUGGCUUCAAGCUGCGCCAGGCAAGAUUCAGGCUGGACAUUAGGAAAUAUUGCUUCUCUGAAAGGGUAGUCAGGCACUGGAAUGGGCUGCCCAGAGAGGUGGUGGAGUCACCGAGCCUGGUGGUGUUCAAAGAGCGUUUGGAUGUUGUGUUGAGGGACAUGGUUUAGCGAGAACCAUUGGUGAAGGGCGAAUGGUUGGACUGGAUGAUCCUGUGGGUCUUUUCCAACCUUAGCGAUUCUAUGAUUCUCCACCUGUUUUUUUUGCUCUUUCAGAGAACUUCAAUCUGUGAGACCUGAUUCCUAGUACAAAAUUAAAUUCUACACCUACUUGUUGUUUUAGAUUUGUAUCUAAUUCCAUGCUUUCUUCUAGAUCCAACCACUUUAUCUAGCAUGAAAAUUGUCAUCUGCAGUUUCCAGUUUCUCUGAGAUCUUUCCAAAAGUUGAAACAUUUUCAGUGCCAAAGCUAAUGUAGCUAAACUACAACUUGCAGAGCAUAGAUUUUUAUGGACAUAUGGAUGAGUUCAGUCUGGGCUGGUCUGUUCAGGAACUCUGUGCUGACUCUCAGCCUUGAAGCCACUCUUAAACAGAUUCCACUCUGCAGAGAAAGACUGCAAAAUGGAAUUCUUAUGUAUAAUGGACAAUAACCCACACCAAUCAUUUAACUAGUUUGUUAUUGUCUUAUCUUUUUUUAUUUUUCCUGAACAUUUUGAACAUCACUGGUGACCACUGGCUGGCCUUCUAGUUCUGUGCUGAGAAAGAGGUGUGUUGUUUGGGUUUUGGUUUUUUUUUUUUUUUUUCUUUCCAUAAUUUUCAUGCUUUUAAAAGAUUACUUCCUUAAUCGUUUUGACUUUCCUUAUUGUUGUUUGAUGUUUAAAUAUUUAAUUUAUUCUCUUUCUCAUUUCUCUUAUUUGGACAAAGCUUCUAUUUUCAGUGGAACACCUCCUUUAAAACUAUUCUUUGACAUAUCCACGUGUGAGGUUGGGGUAAGAACACUUCUAAAAUCUUUUUGCUGAGUACUGUGCUUUCGCUGUGAUGUCUUUUAAGUUUCCGUUCUGUUUACAAGCACCUUAUUCUUCCACUGCCACUUUUAUUUUGGCUUUAAUGGGCUUAUUUAUUUCUAUGCAGUUCCCUAUUUCCAGACUCAGUGCUGCAGUUUCUUUUUUGCUCUUACUGGGAGGUUGAAGAUUACCUUGUUACUAUAGGAUGCUUCUUUGACAAAGACUUCAUGAGCAGAGUUCGUGCUCAUCCAAGACUACACCGAGGUUACUGUCUUUUUCUGUGGGGAGUCUUGACCAGAAUUUUCAUCAGUGUCAGUGUUUGAUCUUUUUGCUGAUGCCAACAUUCUGCUUCAGGUAGUGAGAAAAGCCAAAGGCCUCUGGACUGGUUUCUUGUCUAAACAGAGGUUGCACGUGAAACAGCUCUGUUGUAGUGUGCAGUCAGUCUGGUCAUGUGAAAAUGACUUGGAAGAUGAUGGUUGUCCAAACAGCCCCAGCUGAUUUAUAUCCUCUCAUAGCUGUGAACUGAUACUCUUCAGUAGUUGCUUUGCUAGCCAUGAUUAUGAUGUAGCACAUGGGCAUGACGCAUAUGAUGAAUACUGAAGAUACAUGUACAAGCUGCAUGUAGUCCAAGAGCCAUAAACUAUUCCUCCUGACUUUAGAGGUAAGCUUUUUUGUCCUUGGGACACACUUGUGGCUGUGGCCAUCGAUGAAAUGCAUUUUUGUAUCCCUGCAGGCCAGUAGCAAUUUUUAGCCCUUUGAAAUGUGAAGGAUAUUGUGACUCCUUUACUGAUAGAUCUGUUCUUGGAUUGUCCCCUGGCUUGGAUUAUUCUGUGGUAGAUAAAAAAUAUGACUUUUUAUAGGGCUGUGAGUUCCCUAAAUCAGGAAAUAUCUUUUCUGAAUAAUUGGACAUCACUUAAUAGGCAUCACUGCAAAUGCAUUAAUAGUGUAACACCCUCUACUUCAUCCUUUUGACCUCAUCUACAUCAUGUAUAUUUAUUCUUUCCCUGAUAAAAACAUUAACCUCUUAUCUUGCCUUAGGUUCACAUAUUCAUUCACUAUUUGAGAAAACAGAGAGAGAGGAAGGAAGGAAGGAAUGUAGAGGGAGAGGGAGAGAGGGAGGGAUAAAGGAAGAGAGGAGCUUUUAGCAUUCUGUAGCCGAGCUGCCUGAUGUAAUGUGUUAGAGGAUAUAGGUGCCAGUAAUGUGCAAAGAGCUUGAAAAAUGACCAGACAGUGCCAAACCCACAGUGCAUGUUGUCAAGAGGGCUAACAGUAUAAUAAAUCAACCUGUCUCGUGUCAAGGGUCAGGUGGUUUGAUGUUCAAAGCUUUUCGGCCAGCCUGAUCCAGCCAGGCAGAUGCUAUUCAUUUCUGAGCCUCCAGCACUAUUAUGAUACUGGGAUCACCAUAAAGAAGUGCCAGCCCUGUGGUUCUUUGGUCUUUAAGUCAAGAUCCCAAAGGGGAAAAUUAUCCAGGAGAAGAGAGCAAAGUGCUGCUUAGUUUCAAACCUUAUGCUUUCCUCAUAAUUAUUUUUUCAAAGCAGCACUGAGAAAAGCAUGGAAAACCAUGUCAGAUGGAUUUUUCCUAUGCUUUCUGUAUAGGACAGUGAUGCUUAACCUUUUCUUAUCUGAGCAAGCCAUAUGGGCCCACCGUGAUGGGUGGGGACAACUGGCUCUGCCUUCCUCUGUUCAUGUGACCAUGUACCUACUCAAAAGAAAUGUCAUAUUUUGAGUAAGUGGAGGAUGUGAAGCACAAUAUAAUUAAACGAUCCACUCCAGUCACAGCUACUGUACCUUCCUUCCGUGAUGUUUAGAGGGGCUAGAGGGAGGAGACCCUGCCUCUGGCCUGCCAAGCUAGAAGGAGGGUCUUUCCACAUGUGUCUUACACUGUGUCUGCAGGGCUGGAUGAGUGCAGGGAAUCUGCUGUAGGCAUUGCAGGCCAAUCUGAAACUUACAUGUUCAGGAUCUUUAAUUAGCUUUGUUAGUUGGGAAUAUGCAAGGAGAAAGGUUAAAGCAGCAAAUCAGGCUAAUUACAGGCAGGAGGUCCCAGGAGUUCAGAUCUAGUGAUCUUCCCUGGCCCUAAGAGGGAAGCAGUUAACACUGUACUGUCUCUGCCAGUGCCACAGGGCUGCUGUUUUCCCAGUCUUUGGGCUUUAAGAGUGGUAACUACUGCUUCCUUCAGAACGCCACACAUCUGCAACUGUAAAACUGGGGGCUCUAUAGGCACCAACACAGUGUCCCAAAUUAUCAUAGAAUGGCUUGGGUUUAAAAGGACUCAUCUCUUAGCAAAUUCAUUUCUAAUAGCCUCUUCCCAUUGUUGUAGAAACACUUCUGCACAUUUUCCCCCUCUCCAGCUACAUCAUCAGUGCACUGUUAUUUCUAGUGUUAUAUAAAUUAGAGUCCAAAAUAUUGAAACUAAAAUGUCAUGGGGGAAGUUGGGUUAAAGGAGGCAGCUGAGGUACUGAAACAUCCAAGUGUCAGAGGCAAACUGACAUGAGGACCAAUAACAUGGAGCAAAAAUGCUGGUAGACAUGUUACACAGCAAGUGAUUUUGUAGCAGAUAACAAAUUCUAGAAGAGUAGUUGGGUGAAUUCUGUAUCAGCAGAUACAGAGGAAAUUUCAAUGAUAAUCUGUUGUUGUCCAAAGAGCAAGCAAAAAUAAAACACAUCAGAUACCCAAAAGAAAAUCAGAACUCCAACCCAAAGAAUCCAAAACAAUGAAUACCCAUCAGAACUAUAAAACAAUUAGAUUCAAACAGUGUCUACAGGGAAGAUUUGGUGCGAGUCUUAAAUAGUAGUAGACUGAAUUUGGUUAGUUUGUUUCCAGGAUUUUUCUCAGAGAUUUGUUAACUCCUAUGUUGGAGGGUUAUUUUGCUCAGAGGAACAAAUGUGGGUAUGAUGUAAGUCAUAACCAUAUGUAUUUUGUUUUAUCAUUUCAUAUAUCCUGCGUGGAUAUUAAUUCCACUGCAUGUUUCUACUUUUUUUUUUUCUUCCAGAAAAUAACUCCCCUCACCAAGCCCCGAUGAGUACAGUGGUUGUCUUUUCUCAAAAAGGAAUAAGUCACAAUGAUUCUAUUUUUUUUUUUUGUGUGUGUGUGUUGUUGUUUUUUGUUUGUUUGUUUGGUUGGUUUUUUUUUACAUACCCAAAUCCUGUGAAGGACUUUACCAAAUGAAGGUCAGCAGUUGUUGAAGUACUAGUCUGGCAGUAGCCAGAGUCUCCUGCAUCAACAACAUGGAACUAAGUCAACUUUUACUAGCUCCUUUCCCCAUCCACAGACUGCAUGAUAAUGCUUGAAGCCUUUAUAAAUGUAUUUGGGCAAUGUAUAAAAUGUCAUUUGUAUGAGUAAGUGAUUAUCAGCAGAGUGCCUCUCUGAAGGAUUGAAGUGUGAGACAAAAGACAAAAUACAGAUUUGAUCAGUUCAUGACUAUAUGUACAUAGUUAAGAUUUACAAUAUAAAGAUUAUUUUUUCAAAUUAUAAUGCCUGUCAAAUUAUAAUACUGUCACCGUUAAGAGUUUCUGAAAAUCCCACCUACAUAUUCCGGUAGGAAAUUAUGCAAAGGCAAAGUGUUAUGACAGGGAAGACUGCUCUAUCUGCAGUAGUUUUAGGCAAUGUAAUAAUAAAAAUAGAACAAUAGAUUGUAUCAAUAGAGCAAAGAAACAAACAGUGAAGGCAGAGGUCAGAAAGGACCACUUGAUGUAAAAAUAAAAUAUAUUCUUCAGCUAUAGCAGUUAAAUCAGUACUUGUGAUAGCAGAGUUGGACUGUAUUAUCAAGUCAAACUCAGACAGUGAGCAAGGGUAUCAUCUCAGAGACUCAAGGGGAAAACUAUGGAUUAGAACAUGGAAAGAAAAUAUAAGGGAAGAAAAUAUUCAAGGUGUGAAAAACUAUUUCUGCCAGUGGUUAACUGAGGUGAAAUUUUUUGAGGUUUCCAUCCUUCCCAUUGAAAUUUGAGGCCGUCACUAUAUGAUAUGUUGUCUUUGGCAGCAAAGCUGGCUAGAAAGUUCCCGAGAUCCACUGCCAUUUCAUUGCUACAUGUGUUUGUUAAUAAAUGCUUAUGUCUCUGCGCUGCUGACAGGUGACUCAGAUGGUAUGCAGUCAAAACAGCCAUUCAAAACUUUUCAGUCUGAAAAAACAAAGGCUCUCUGACCUGAACCAGUUUAGAAUUUGAGGUAGUGUUGUAGGCCACAACACGAGCUUCAGUGAUGAACCAGGAUAGCAUCUGGUAACGACAGGAGAUUUGUGCAAUCUUCCUCUUCAGUAGUUCCACUCAUACAGGAAAGUGACCCAGAGCAGAGGGAUAAAAUAACCUUUGUAUCCUCUUGUACCUGAACAGCAUGAGCUGGUCUGGGGAACGGUCAGCUCUGCCCUUCAGACUUCAAUUGCAUCCGGCCAUGUAUGCUAUGCAGGUUUCUUGUUCACUGGGUGAUCUUGAAGUGGCCUUGCUAAAAGCUCUCUCUGCCAUUUCCAAAGGAGAUAAAUCUACCUAGAGCCCUGGGAAGCAGAAUUGCUCUUCUUUUUGAAGUGAAGGACCAGUGGUGAACUGGCAAUGAUCAUGACAGUGCCCCUCAUUACUCCAGCCCUCAGCACAUGAUCCCAGGCGACAUGCACUCUAUGCUCUGCUGAGGAAGAUCACAGCGAUCUUGAUAUGAUGGCACAGGACAAGAAUACAUAGACUUGGCUGGAUCAAAAGCAAUGUGCUGAGACUCUACAUCAUCUUGGUGCUUCAGGAGACUAAUUUCUGGACUAAACAGUCUUUGAAAUGAUUCCACAUCACGAGCUUCCGUCCCCACCUUAGUCAAGUCCUGUGAUCACCAAGGCAGACAAAGACAAGCACAGAAAACUGAGGACAAAUCAGGAGCUUCACAGACUGUUUUUAAUUGGGAGGAAACAAAAGAAAAAAUAUCACAAUUUGUACAAGAUGGUGAGAUGGACUCAUUUUAUGAGUAAUAAAAUAAACUUUGGUUCUCAUUUAUUCUAAUUGUCCUGAAAGAUCUUCUAGAGGCAAACAUGAGAGACACAAGACAAAUUACAAAAUUUUCAUCCCUAUCACACAAUUUGUCAUGUUACAGACAUCAGCAAAGAACUAACUUGACUCUGCCUUUAACGCAGGUCAUCUUCUAGAAGUCAUCUUAUUAUGCUACAGUUUUUAAGUUGGGCUGCCCAAAUAGUCUCAAUAUUUUACUGGUAUUGAAGGAAAAAAAUCUCAUGCUAAAUAUAGUGGAAACAAAGCAAAGAAAUAGAGAAUAAUAAAAAAAAAAAAUACCACCAGUCCCAAAGAGUCACUGAUUUUAUACUGAUUGCAUCUAGACUGACUUUUAAUGGUCUGAGUCCAGGAUUCCAUUAGUGUUUAAUAAAUGAUGGUAAUGAUAUCCUACCUAAACAAUGCACACAGAGCUCCCAUUGACUUCAACAUGAGUUCUCGGUGCAGACUGAUGGCAGGAUAUUCCUGUGACAGAGAUGAAUUUUCCAUUAGAACAAAAUGAGGAAGACCUGUCUCAGUCAGCAGAAUUCACAGCAACAAGAAAUAUUCCUUGGGGGCUCAGUGAAAGAUGGCCAUCCUGAGUGGUGGAAAGUAAAUUGGGUGGGAAACUGUGAGGCAUACUUGGACAGUUGUAAAACCAAUUAAAACCAUCAUGCAGUUAUAUUGAUGUUUAAUUUGUAUCAUCUGGAAACCACAACUUCCUUUCUCAUCACACCAUGGGGGAAAUUGCUGUUCUUUUUUAUAUGAAGGCAAAGAGUGCAUUUAAUAUUGGGAUAGAAGAGAGAGUGUGUACGUCUAGUACUAUGUCUUGAUUACCAACUUUCACUCAGAAUAGGGAAAGGAAAAAUGAAAUGCUGUUAGUUAUAAACAAUGGAGAACCAUUACCCAUACAGAAAUUUGGGCAACGACACAAAGAAUUCAGCUGAACGUUUUCCUUCAAGGAUUUUGUUAAAAAUACAGUCAAUGAGUUGAUGUGAAGUCAGCUUUGCAUGUGGCAGAGAGGCAGCUAAGUACAACAGGGGCAGAGAGAAACCUCUUUUGGCAUUGCUUUUAUUGUGAAAAAGGGAUAUAUUUUCUGCAAAAAAAAAUAAUUUUGAUUUUGUUAUCAAUUUCUUCUCUUGGAAGACUAUAUGUUUCACUUGAAUAUUUGGGUCAAAAACACAAAACUUUCAACCUUUUCUAAGGUAUUCACUGAAGGGAAAAGGAAAAGGAGUUAAUAUAAGAAAACACAAGUAAUUCAAUUACUUUUUUUGAUAGAUGUUUAAUAACAAUAGAUUGAUGCUAAAUGAACAUGUAUAUUUCCAGGAGCAAAUAUGUAAUUUUUGGAAUGCAUCUUAGAAAAACAGGAUGUAUUUGGCUGGGGAAAUACCUUUGCUUUUUAUGAUAUAUUAAUGAUCUUAGCAAAAAACAUCAUGUCUUAGAAUAGAUGAUUAAAAGGAUGAAGAAAACCAGCAUCUGAGUGAAAAAUCAAAGGCAAAAGUAAUUGUAAGUAAGAUGGAUAGCAAAUCUCACCUACUAGUGGAGUAAAUAAAAUACACCAGAAAAAUAUCUCUUCCUUCCCCAUUAAGUUGUUAUGCACUAGCAAUGCAUACUACAGGAUCAGGAUAAUUAGGAAAUCCCAUUAUUUUGUAAAAACCAUUUUUGGAUGGGCAGAACUGAGGUAUCUAUCUAAUAAGUGUGGAUUUUUUAAAUGCAAAACUGUCAGUUCAUGUCUCUACAGUGGUGCAAAUUAGGCACCCAAAAUCCAGAGUGGCUUUUCAGAAUUUUGAUCUGGAUUUCACUCCAAGCUCCUGGAGAAUUGUACUUUUUAUUUAGUAAGAUUCUCAGCUUUUAUUGCUCUAAGAAGUGAUCUUGACAAUUUUCUUUUUCCACUCACAUUAUGGCUUUUACAUGGCCUAGUGCAAAGAAUAUAAAUAUUGCUUGAGCUACUUAUAGGUGCAAAUGGAAAUGUGAAAAUAUUUAUGGCUGAAAUGAAAGUAUAAUCUGUAUUGCUUAAUUAUGAUAAUCCAGGGAAAUUAUUCUCGCAUAAUGCCCUAUAAAGCAGUAAAAGGAAAAAUAGCUAGCUGCUCUUUUUUGUUGCUUGCUUCAGAUAGGUCCAGGUAAGAUGUUAGUAAACUUGCAUUUCAUGUUGACUAUCUUGUUUAAGCUGUAUGUUGUAAAAGUAUAGUACUCUAAAUUACAAUUUCUAUUGCUUGCGAAGUGCUGGGAGAAGGCAUAGAUUUCAGUGUAAUAUCAUUCAAACUAAUCUCUGAAUCUGUAGGAAUUCUUGUUUACUUAUUUGUAAUUAUUUAACAUCUGUUGACUUUAG
ensembl:lncRNA